rnacentral:misc_RNA from 1 species
GUGUUUGCUCACAGUGUGAGGCAUAUAAACCUAUCUUCUCACCGCAUCUCCAUUUGUCAGUUUAGUAUCGCGAAUUAUUCGCCACUUCCUAGACGCUCACCAAAAUGUCGAAAAUUAGCGCUGCUCAGCGUCUUCGAGGACUCUCGACCAGCUCGAUCUGGGAGGAGAUGACACCGCUAGCCAACAAGCACAACGCAGUCAACCUCGGUCAGGGCUUUCCUAGCUUCGCUCCUCCUAGGCUUCUACUUGAAGAGCUGGAGAAAGUCCUCCAAUAUAGUGAACAGGCGCCUCUUGCUCACCAGUACUGCCCUCCUCGCGGUAACGUGGAGCUCGUCACGCAGCUGUGCAAAAGUUACACGAAGCUUCUCUCCCAAGAUAUUCAGCCCUCCAACGUGGUUGUGACGAAUGGCGUGACGCAGGCUCUUAACGCCAUAUUCCAGGCUUUUGUCAAUCAAGGCGACGAAGUCGUCCUUGUCGAGCCUUUCUACGAUGCCUACUACCAGGACAUCUUUAUCACUGGCGGGGUAACGAAGUAUGUCUCUCUCCAGCCCUCCACGGAAUCGGCUGAGAACUGGAAGCUGACCCGUGAGGCGCUUCUUGAGGUUGUUAACGAAAAUACAAAGUUUAUUCUCAUCAACACGCCUCAGAAUGUUCCCGGCAAGGUCUGGAACGUCGAGGAGCUUCAAAUUAUCGCAGAAGUUGCGAAGCAGUUUGACGUUGUCGUCAUCUCAGAUGAGGUGUACAUGUAUCUUACCUACGGCAAGCCCCAUGUUUCCAUCGCAUCAUUGCCAGACAUGUGGGAGCGCACUGUUACGCUUUGCAGUGCUGGAAAAACUUUCUCGUGCACUGGAUGGAAAAUUGGGUGGGCUGUGGGCUGCGCUAAGCUGACUGCGCCGAUUGCACAAGUUGUCUCCUACCAGUCGUUCUGCUGCUCUACACCGUUCCAGAUUGCCAUCGCCAGGGCUGCUGCAAAGGCUUCGGAAAACGGUUUCUACGACAUCCUGCGCGACGAAUACGCAGCACGCGUGGAGCAGGUGUCAAACAUGCUCGCGGCCAGCGGCUUAUGCCCGGUCAAGCCCCAGGGUGGUUUUUUUGUUCUCGCCGACAUCACAAAAGUGGAUCCGAAGCACUAUUACGAUGCCUCAAACAAGUCACAGGCAAAGGACUGGCAAUUCUGUAUGUGGCUUACAAAGAAAAUUGGCGUUUGCGCCAUUCCUGUGACGGCUUUCUGCCAAGAGGAGAGCAAGCCGCUUUACGAGAAUUAUGUCCGCUUCGCCUGCUGCAGGUCACAGAGCGAGCUGCAUGCUGCAGCUGAGAGGCUUCAGAAGCUGCAGGACUAUCUUCUCUGAAGCUGGUCUGCGCAAAACUUUUGUGUCGCCGUACCUCCCUUCUUUGCAAGUUAGAAUAUCAGGUGCUUAGCUUUUAUUAUUCCUCUUUCGUUUUUCAAGUGAAUCAGAUUCUUUCUUCUUCCAAGGCACUCAUUUUGUAGUUCUUGUUACCCCCUUCACUAGUAUGAGUUGUAAGCGCCUGCGCAUGACGUGUUUUUUCUUUUUUUUUUUUGGUUGUCUGACCACUGAAGUUCUUUAGAUGCUGCUUCAUUUCUUGCGAUCACGUUAGUCAGAGGAAGGAAAAGAAAAACGGUGCUGCUUGCACAUCGAAAGAAGCCUCAUUGAGUGCAUCCCACAGGCUUCAAGAGCACAAUAGCAGUUUUUUUUUUACCACUACUUUCCCUCCGUUUUUUCCCCGUGGUCGUAACAGCUUCUUUUUUCAGCAACUGCGACUUCACUGAAACUAGCUGCAUUCUCAGCCUUUCCGUCACGCCCGCCUGUCUCG